rnacentral:rRNA from 1 species
GAUGAACGCUAGCUACAGGCUUAACACAUGCAAGUCGAGGGGUAACGAGAGGAAAGCUUGCUUUCCUUGUCGACGACCGGCGCACGGGUGAGUAACGCGUAUCCAACCUGCCCCCAACUAAGGAAUAACCUUGCGAAAGUAAGACUAAUACCUUAUAAUUUCCUCAGAUGUCAUCUGACGAGGAAUAAAGAUUUAUCGGUUGUGGAUGGGGAUGCGUCUGAUUAGCUUGUUGGCGGGGUAACGGCCCACCAAGGCAACGAUCAGUAGGGGUUCUGAGAGGAAGGUCCCCCACAUUGGAACUGAGACACGGUACAAUCUCCUACGUGAGGCAGCAGUGAGGAAUAUUGGUCAAUGGGCGAAAGCCUGAACCAGCCAAGUAGCGUGCAGGAUGACGGCCCUAUGGGUUGUAAACUGCUUUUAUACAGGAAUAAAGUUAGCCACGUGUGGUUAUUUGUAGGUACUGUAUGAAUAAGGACCGGCUAAUUCCGUGCCAGCCGCCGCGGUAA